GACGAACGCUGGCGGCGUGCUUAACACAUGCAAGUCCAACGGUAAGGCCCUUCGGGGUACACGAGUGGCGAACGGGGGAGUAACACGUGGGUGAUCUGCCCUGCACUUCGGGAUAAGCCUGGGAAACUGGGUCUAAUACCGGAUAGGACUCCUGCCUGCAUGGGUGGGGGUGGAAAGCUUUUGUGGUGUGGGAUGGGCCCGCGGCCUAUCAGCUUGUUGGUGGGGUGAUGGCCUACCAAGGCGACGACGGGUAGCCGGCCUGCGAGGGUGACCGGCCACACUGGGACUGGGGGACGGCCCAGACUCCUACGGUGGGCAGCAGUGGGGAGUAUUGCACAAUGGGCGCAAGCCUGAUGCAGCGACGCCGCGUCAGAGAUGACGUCCUUCGGGUUGUAAACCUCUUUCAGCACAGACGAAGCGAAAGUGACGGUAUGUGCAGAAGAAGGACCGGCCAACUACGCGCCAGCCGCCGCAGUAA
rnacentral:rRNA from 1 species